CCCCCCUCCCCGGGCAGCCAGUGCCAGAUGAGAGCAGGAGACAAAAGUAGCAUUUUCCUCGUACUCCGGGGCUGGCAGCGGGGCCUUCCCCCAGCACCACAUGGCUCCUGGCAGCCCUGCCCCCUGUGCCGGGGUGGCCGAGGCCCGGCCGGGCCCACUGGACCGAGGGACAGCGGCGGCCAGAGACUAGGGGGCCCGUGGGCCCAUAGCUGGGGCUGGCACCGGGCAGCCUGCUGGCCGGCGGGACCUGCCCUCCUCCCCCACCCGGGUGACCGGCUGGGCCCAGGGACGUCAUUUUCACUUCCUGGCUUUGGAGAAGGCGCCUCCAUCCUCCGGCACCUCGGAACGUGGCCCUGUCCCAGAGCACCACCCGAGACAUCAGGAGCCCAUCGUGGGCUAGGGAAGACCCUCCGGGACCUAACGGCCCAGGUCUUCCACCCUUGGCCACCUCCCCAGGUGAUGCCUGAAGCUCAAGGGACUGUGUCCACCCUCAG
rnacentral:lncRNA from 1 species